UCUUUCAUAAGAAAAAAAAGAAAAAAGGAAACUCCAAGCUAGGCCUUUAAAUUGGCCGGAGACGUAUCCCAAACCACCAGCCAUAACAACAAUUAUCUCUCCACUCUCCGAUAAUGAUAAUCAUCGGCCCAUCUGGUCCACACAACACCGUGAUGAGGGCAGGGACGGAGCCGGCUGUGAAAAUGGGUAGGGGCGAAGAGCAAAAACAAUUAGCAGCAAACUAUAGAUGAAAACUGUGGUGCUGCUCAAGGUGUCCAUGAAUGGGCAGAAGUCAUUUUUCUGUCCCAUGGCUGGACAUGAGGCCGGCACCAAAGCCUUGUGGAUUGCAGUUAGCGUUCCAGGGGUGGAAGUAUUGAGAUAAGAUGGUCAAAGGAUCGAUCCAACAAGAAACAGUAUCUUUGAAAGGGCAAGACAAGGACCAAAUAGAGGUGAAAGGGGAGGGAAUUGACACCGUCAACCUUACAAUGUUGAUCGGGAAGAAAGUCGGGUAUGCAGAUAUCGUAAGCGUGGCGGAAGAGAAGAAAGAAGAGAAGAAAACCUGAUGCAGUAGUAGUAGUACCGCGGCGGUUGGCGUAUGACUAUGGGGGUGGUGUGCUUUCUGCCUUCCUAUAUACCCACUCUAUCAUCGCUAAUUUAACCCGGAGCACUGCCCUUGUUUGUGUCUUUGACUCUUUUAUCAUGUUUAAUUUGCCGGUCACGUCAAUGGUUUUUCAUUUGUUUCUUUUGUAAAUGUUGUAAAUGCUUCAUUUUCUUUUUCACUGAAAAAGUUUAAAAACUCCUAGCCUGCAUAUGUAAUUUGUUUAUCAAUAAGAAUGUCAUACUCUGUUUUGGUUAAGAAGAAAAACCAAAACAGUUUCUCAAA